CAGUCAUGCUCUUUGGGUUAAGCCGUUCGCGGUGUAUUCCAUUGAGUGGGGUCAACAUCAGUUUUGACCGCUGGAAAAAGGCACGAGGAAGGUAGCACUCUCGGGUGAACUUAUAGCCUCGCGUCAUAUACAGUGGUUGGGACUGAGGAACGCAGCAUGCCUUAUGGCCGGGAUUCGUCCACGUACAUGCUUAGGAUGUUGACAUAAUGGACUUUAAACGACCCGUCUUGAAACACGGACCAAGGAGUCUAACAUAUAUG
rnacentral:rRNA from 1 species